UUCCUGAUAGCUUAAUUGGUAAAGCGUAUAGCUGUUAACUAUUUGAUUGAAGGUUCAAGUCCUUCUCAGGGAG
rnacentral:tRNA from 1 species